GAAACUCUUGCAAGGAGGGGACGUCUCAAAUUGGAUGAUCGAUGGUCUAGCUCGUAUGUUAACAAUCCAGCUGGAAAAAGAUAAGCUUAACCAUGGUAACGUUGCAUAUUUCCCAUGCACCAUCUGGACUAUACUGCACAACGAGAAAAGCGACAUGAGAACAGUUCUGCUAGACCAAAAGCUCCAUCGUGUGUUUGAAAACGUUCGGCAACAUGGGACUACAUAUUAUUGGUACUUGGUAUUCCCUAUGAAUGGCAGCGGGGACAAACCGCUAAAAUUUAGUCCGUACCAUUAGACCAUUCUUUUCUAUGAUGUUAGGAAAAAGAAAUGGAUGCACUACAAUUCGUUGAAGAAGAGAGACGGCAGAGAUCCAAUUCUGAAAGACGCUACC